UACGUAGGGACCGAGCGUUGUCCGGAUUCAUUGGGCGUAAAGAGCUCGUAGGCGGCCACUCAAGUCGAAUGUGAAACCUCGAGGCUUAACCUCGAGCCUGCAUUCGAUACUGGGCGGCUAGAGUCUGGUAGGGGGAUCUGGAAUUCCUGGUGUAGCGGUGGAAUGCGCAGAUAUCAGGAGGAACACCGGUGGCGAAGGCGGGUCUCUGGGCCGUAACUGACGCUGAGGAGCGAAAGCAUGGGGAGCGAACAGG
rnacentral:rRNA from 1 species